GCUGUGGUUUUGUGAAAGAAUGACCCAAUUGAAGGAUUUGGGGUAAAAGGGCAUGAUGUCUAAAAAUUAUUCUCAAGUUUGUCUCAAAAAAAAGAAUGAAAAUGAUAAUGUCAAGAAAGAAUAAUAUUUAAAAAUAAGGAACAAAGGCUAUACGGGAGUUCUUGGCACUGCUGUAGCAGCUCCUCUAAAUGUUUGAAAUUGUUUUAAAAUAAAAAGUUAAAGGAAAAUCAGUUGCCUACCUAGGUCAAUUUUGUGUUUUCAUAUUUAGUGUAUUUUUCUAACCCUGAUGAAUCUUUACAUAAGUGACUUGACAAAAAGCAAACAAAAUCCUAAAACUCUGGUGAAACACUUCAGCAUAGCACUAUGGCAGCCUCCUAUGAACAUGUCUGUAAAACUCAGAGAUGUCCAUUUUUUAAAAACUAAAUUCUUGUGAAACUAUUCAGCACAUGGCACUAAAGUAUUUUAUUUUUCUUUUCUUUUCUUCUUCUUCUUUUUUUUUUUUUUUUUUUGAGACAGUCUGGAGUAUAGUGGCGCCAUCACCACUCACUGCAGCCUCAACCUCCCAGGCUCAGGUGAUCUUCCCACCUCAGCCUCCUGAGUAGCUGGGACUACAGGUGCCUGCCACCACACGUGGCUAAUUUUUUGUAUUUUUUUGUAGAGAGGGAUUUUCACCAUGUUGCCCAGGCUGGUCUCAAACUCCUGGACUUAAAUGAUCCAGCUACCUCAGCCUCCCAAAGUGCUGGGAUUACAUGUAUGAGCCACUGCGCCCAGCAACACUAAAUGUCCAAAAAGCAUUGUUAUUCCUUUGGUAUUUCUUUACGUGAUAAACUUGACUUGCUAGGGAAUUGGGAAUUAACCUAGAUGUUUAUGGAUGAGACUGUUUUUCUCUGGGAUAAACCCACCACCCAGAAUCAAAGGGCCAAUUAAGAGACAUGAUCUUGACUUGUCUCAAGCACCCACAGAUAAUUUUGUGGUUUGGUCUUCAGAGAGACACCACCUCUGCUCUUCCACAGAAUGUCAGAAUGGUAAGUGAACUCUUUUCCCUCCCUUGUGUCUUGACUCAGGAUAUUCUCCAGGAUGCUACAGUCCUUGUGUCCUACAACAGAAAGCUUUCCUGCAUUCCUGGCAGUCACUAAAUUCUGGUAUCUAGAAAAUUUAGUUCUCAUUGCCAAUUUCCCUUUCAAUAUAUUCUUUCACCACCAGACUGGAAAAGCUCAAACACGUCUCCAGAGAACAUUAAAAAAUCCCAAGGCAUUCUGUUCUUGUGUUAGUUUGCUGAAGAUAAUGGCUUUCAGCUCCAUCCAUGUCCAUGCAAAGGACACGAUCUCAUUCUUUUUAUGGCUGCAUAGUAUCCUAUGGUGUACAUGUAGCACAUUUUUUUUUAUCUAGUCUAUCAUUGAUGAGCAGUUGGGUUGAUUUCAUGUCUUUGUUAUUGUGAAUAGUGUUGCAGUGAACAUACAUGUGCAUGUAUCUUUAUAAAAGAACGAUUUAUACUCCUUUAGGUGUAUACCCAGUAAUGGGAUUUCUGGGUCAAAUGGUAUUUCACAUCCUGCACAUGUAUCCUGGAACUUAAAAUAAAAUAAAAUUUUAAAAAAUCCCAGGAUAAAUCAGUAAAUGAAACUCUAAUAGCAAAUGUGUUUCAUGUGAAAAUGUAACCUGGUCAUGUAGUAUACUCUGAAAAAGCCAGGAGAACUAAUUUGCAGAAUUGCAUUUCUAAGUGUUCAAGUGAAAUUAGACACUCAAAACAUUACACACAUUGCCCAGACAAAAGAUCUUUUGAGUUCAUUGCUCCCUCCUGAAUUAUGUGAAGAAAUGGCUAAAAUUCUCUGAGUUGGUUCUAUUUGAGUUGGUCACAAGAAUUUAAGAAAAACGUUUAACCUGCCUUCCAUUUCUUGUUGGCUGUUUCAAAAUAAAGCCAGAGGUAUGUAUUCAAUAAAGCCAGAAGUAUGUAUCCUUAGAAGAUAACAACAACAAAAAGACAAAACAACAACAACAACCACAACAACAAAAGAGAAAAAAGAAAAAGAAGAAAACCGAACUAGAUUAGACAUUUGUGAAUGAGUAUCUGAUACCUGAUGUUGUCUCUGCCUAAAAAAGUGAAUUCC
rnacentral:lncRNA from 1 species